AAAUGACAUUUAUUCGGUAUAUUCGUUACUACUAAAUUCAAAACAGUUUUUUUUUUCGGUUCGGUUUUACCGGAUUGAACACCCCUAAUUAUGACAUACAUAUUAAUUUAUGUUGAACAUUAUCAAAUGCACACCUGUAAUUUGUAAAUCUAUAAAUUACAUACAUUUUUUCAACUCUCAAUCUAUAAAUUUUAUUUUUGCUUGUUUAAAGCAUGUGCGCUUUAAGAAAAUGUAGAAAGAAAAUCAUAAGGGAAAAUUAGGAAAAAUAAACCAUAGCAAAAUAGGAAUAUUUGAAAUAAUUAAUUUAAAAUAACAUGAAACAUAAUUAGGAUAAGAGAUUAAACUAAAUGAUUAACCGUACAUAAUUAAUUUGGUAUACAAAAAAAAAAGAGGAAAUUUCAUGUUUACCACUUUCAUGGUACCAUUAUUCAUUUUUACCACCACUAAAGAGACAUUUUCAAAAAUACAUUCUUCAUUUAGUGGAAAAGAGUCUUAUACUCUUGUUCACUAUAUAUAUAUAAUAAAUAAUUAUUUUUUUAAAAAAAAUUAAUUUUUUAUGUUUUUGAAUUAUACUUUUUAAAAUUUGAAUUUUUUUAUAAUUUUUCUUUUGAAUUUUUCUUUUUCAAAAUUUCUUUUUGAAAAUCGAAAAUUAUGUUUGAAACUAUUUUUAAUUUUUUUUAUAUAUUUUUAAAUAUUUAUUUAUAUAUUUAUUAGAAUAAUAAAUUUCACAUUUCAAAAACCCUAUCUUACCAUUAGACUCUAAGCCCUAAGUUUAUAUUAGUUAACCUUAGAGAUAUAAAAUAUUUUUUACCUUUCAUUAAAAGUGAAAAUAAAAGUGAUUAGUUUAAACAUGCAAAAUAGUAUUACGAACGUGGUAUUUGUGACAAUUUUUCAAUAAAUAGGGAAAAGUUUACAACUCAAAUGGGUUUCUCUAAGUUAAUUAUACAAUUUUCUUAAAAACCUCACAACAAGUGUUUUGUUUAUUAUAAUUAUUUUUGGAGUGGUCCACUCGAAUUUCGAAUAUACUACUACAGAGAUUUUGAAAACUAAAAAGUAAAAACCAAGCAGAACCGGUCAAAGUCGGUUAUCCUCUAUAUAACAAAGCACAAAUCACCUAUCCAAUCAAAAUUUGACAUGUAAUAAUCUAUUUUUUCCAAAGAAAAGUACAAAAAAACAGUUGAAAAAGAUUUCACGUCAAUCCCAUUUUUUUCGGCAAUUCCAAAUACCUAACUACUUAAUUGAUCAAAUUAUCUUAUUCUUACGUUCGUAAUUAACUGUCUGGAUUUCAAAUUCUUUUUUUUCUCUAUAAUUUUUGAUCUAUAUAUUUAUUUAUCGGAGUAAUCAACAUGGAAAAUAUAUCAUUUGCUUUAAAGUACCAAUCAGAUAAUUAAUAAAACAAUUGUUAGCAAGAUUUGGCCCUAACAAAAAAACUCAUUCGAUCUUUUAGUUUUUAAAUCCCUCGAAUUUCUCUGAUUACCACUAUCACGUUCAUGUCAUCAUCUAUAACUUCCAAAUCAUGGCAUGGUUUCAAACAGUUUCAUUUUAUAUAUAUAAUUUUCAAUCAACUAAUUUUUUUCUUUAUUUGCUUUUCAUCUUUCUUCAUCUCCAUCGUUUCAAUCUCCUUCACCAACAUUUUUUUUACAGUACGUCUGUGGACAAAAAUACAUACAUAUUUGUGAGUCUUCUACUCAUAUUCUAUUUUAUAUUUUCUUUAUAUUAAUAUCCUUUAAUUUUUUAGUGUGAUUUAGACUGUUGAUGUCACUUGAGUAUACUGAUGUCUAAGAACAUCAUUCUUCAAAAAUGGAAAAUAAGAGCAUGUCUGCAAAUGAGAAUGAGAAUGUGACUAGACUUCCCAAGAAUAUGAAGUUCGAUGACGUUACCAAAUUAUUAUUUUGUUGGAGACAUAACAAAAGAAAUGAUGUCUAGACUCUCGAUGGGAAAGGUAACUGAUUUUGUAAAACCAGCAGUUCCAUUCUUACUUGCUUUUCACUACCACGAUUCAAAUUUGUAUUAUAAACUAGCUUUAAGUUGGAUUACCUACAAGCAUUGAUCUUCAUUGUAAGAAAUUAUGGUAUUAUUUAUAGUUUUUAACGAUGAAUUUGUGAUCUAUGAUUACCAAGUUUCUUUUUUCAGUGUUCAUAAUUUUCUUGACCAAAGGUUUUCAAAAAUUAAAUUGGUGACUUUUUGAGUUUUUUUUACAUGACAUCAAUAAUUUUACCAUAAUAGUCUGUGAACAAAGUUUUUUGUUUUUAUCAAACUAUAACAAAUAAUUAGAGUGAACUGGAUCCCAAGGCACACGGGUUCGACUCCUCCGGGGUUCCAGAGAGCGCCCAGUGACAAAAAAAAAAAAAAAAAAAAAAAAAAAACAAAUAAUUAAUUUUUGGGCCUAAUU